GCUUUUUCUCUCUCUUCUCUUGCCAUUCUCUCUCUUGCUUUCUUGUUCUUGUUCUUUUUCUCUCUCUUGCUCUCUUGUUCUUGUUCUUUUUCUUGUUCUUUUUCUCUUUUGCACUCUUGCUCUUGCUCUUGCUCUCUUGCUCUCUGACUCCUGAAGAUGUAAGCAAUAAAGCUUUUGCCGCAGAUGAUUCCGGUUUGUUGCGUUCUUCCUGGCCGGUCGCGUGAACGCGGAUAAAAUCUCCAUUCUCCUAUUGAUCAUUUGUAACUUUUAGGACAACCACAGAGAGUCGUCCUUCCUUAAUACUCAGGAAUAAAUUUGGCGUGAUAGAACCACCACCAGAUGAAAUUAUUUUUCUGCCACCACCAGUUGAUGUAAUUGUGGUAUAAUGGGGCUGCCAAAGUAGCGAACCCUGGGAUCCAGAGUCCACAGAAUCCCACAGUCCCCAGGAAUUCUCUUACCUGAUUGAACCAGCAUCAGAUGAUGUUCUGCCAGCAUUAUUUUUUGUAAUUCUAAAAUCUGCAUUCUGCUAUUGAUCAUUUGUAACUUUUUGGACAUCCACAGCUAAGUAACCAUACCAUUAUGAUACUCCUGUGAGCUGCCUACGUUCUACAACCACAGCUCUCUGAUAACUGUAGUCUCCCCUCCCCCAGCCUGAAACCUGCUUGCUCAGGGGUG
rnacentral:lncRNA from 1 species